rnacentral:sRNA from 1 species
AAUUAGCCCCGAUUGCAAUGAAAAUCUCUUCUCGUUGUAAAAACGUGAAGAGAUUGCAAUGGAAAGCGGGAAAAUGG